rnacentral:ncRNA from 1 species
CAGAAUUAUAAGGGGUGCUGUAAUAAGCUGAGAUUAUACCCAAUGAACCUGGAACAGGUAAUGCUGUUUAGGGAAGUUUGUUAAUGUACCAAU